AUGCCUGACCCGUAUGAUGAAAUGUUGUCCACACCAAAUAUAUACAGUUAUCAAGGACCCAAUGAAGAGUUUAACGAGGCCAGGACUCCUGCUCCAAACGAGAUCCAAACGAGCACUCCUGUUGCUGUACAAAACGACGUUAUUGAUGAUGAUGAAGAGCUGUUGAAUGAAGAUGAUGAUGAUGACGAAUUGGACGACCUAGAAAGUGGUGAGGAUAUGAACACACAACA